GCUACCGGUGCUCCGGGGCCACCCCCAGCCCGGAGCGCGGGGCCCCUAGCCCGCGGGCGCCGCCGAUCGGGGGCAGGUCCCGCCGCCCGCUUCCGGACGGGCCGUGCCGACGGAGCCGGGGUUCCUUUCGCCUUCCAGCGCAAACUGCUACCGGCCCCGUGGGGUGGGGGAACUUGCACUUUCUACACACGCACACACGCACGCACCGACAUACAGAGCCCUCCAAAGUAUGAGAGAUCGGGAUUUAAAAACGUAGGAUCCCGGGCCCUUCCCGAGCUCUUUGCGCCGGCGCCCCCUCUUGCACUGCCCCGGCGGCGGCCCGCGCCAGUCCGCGUCGCUGAUCUGUGUUCUCCCUCCGGCCUUCACAAGGCGGGCGUGGAGUCUGCGAGUGUCGGGGGAGGGGUGCAGGGCGGAGAAAGAGCAUCCCCGCGCCGCCGCUGCGGCGGCGGCCGCCGCCGGCCGGCUGGGGGAGGCCUCGUCACAGCCGCCGCCUCAGCAGCGGCCGCAGAUCUCGCGGUGUUUGCCGGCGGCUGCGCCGCCAUAUUGUGUGACAGUAUUUUGAUUUGCACUGGGCUGGCGGAGCCGCGGCGAGAGCGAGCGAGAGCUGGGGGGUGGGGGGAGGGCAGGCGAGCGCGAGGGGGGUGGGGGCAGAGGGAGGUAGGGAGGCCGAGCGAGCCGGAGCCGAGGAGCGGGGAGCGGCGACGCCACCCAGCCAGCGUUUUUGAUCUGCAGCAGCCGCCGGCGGGGCGACCCAGCCCGACCCCCUCCCCUCCCCUCCCCCUCAGCCACGAGCGGCGGCGGCGGCGGCCGGAGGGAGUUGGCGGCGGCGGCCGAUCGGAGGGGCUGAGCGGGGAGGGAGGGAGGGCUGAGGUGUCCCCCCUGCCGGGUGGAAUCGGAGGCGGCGGCGGCGCUGGCGGCGGCCGUGGUGGUGGAGGCGGCAGCGGCGACGGUGGAGACGGCUGCCCUAGUGGGAGAGGCGGCGGCGGCGGCCGAGGAGGAGGAGGGGGAAGCGGCGGCGGCGAAGGGUAA
rnacentral:lncRNA from 1 species